GGGUGAGUAAUACAUCGGAACGUGCCUAGUAGUGGGGGAUAACUACUCGAAAGAGUAGCUAAUACCGCAUGAGAUCUACGGAUGAAAGCAGGGGACCUUCGGGCCUUGUGCUACUAGAGCGGCUGAUGGCAAAUUAGGUAGUUGGUGGGGUAAAGGCUUACCAAGCCUGCGAUCUGUAGCUGGUCUGAGAGGACGACCAGCCACACUGGGACUGAAACACGGCCCAGACUCCUACGGGAGGCAGCAGUGGGGAAUUUUGGACAAUGGGCGAAAGCCUGAUCCAGCAAUGCCGCGUGCAGGAUGAAGGCCCUCGGGUUGUAAACUGCUUUUGUACGGAACGAAAAGCCUGGGGCUAAUAUCCCCGGGUCAUGACGGUACCGUAAGAAUAAGCACCGGCUAACUACGUGCCAGCAGCCGCGGUAAUACGUAGGGUGCAAGCGUUAAUCGGAAUUACUGGGCGUAAGCGUGCGCAGGCGGUUUUGUAGACAGUGGUGAAACCCCGGGCUCACCUGGGAACUGCCAUUGUGACUGCAAGCUAGAGUGCGGCAGAGGGGGAUGG
rnacentral:rRNA from 1 species